CUAACUGCAGCAUAAUUGUACCCAGAAAGCUCCAACACCUGGCAAUUGUAGCUGCUGCAGAAGCAGCAUCAGACACAGAACCAUCGAUAAGACAAAGAUAAGCAUGCAUGGGAAUUUCAAAGAUGACAAAAAACAAGAUGUGCAUUUCAAAACAAACUGUGAAAAAUAGACUACACCUCCUACUCAGAGCUGCACCAAACGUGAUAAAAAAGGAAAAAAAACAGAUAUUCUUGCAAGAAGAACACAGCUGUUCAAGGCUCAGAGAAGUGAAUAGAGUCAUACUAAAGAUAAUCUACAAACAAUGGGGAGAGGAAGAAAGGGCAAGUGUACUUUAGUAAGAAAAGAUUGUCAUUGCGGUUUCAAAAUUUUCCUUCAGAAGAAUGUAUUUUAUAACAGAAUACAUGCGUGCACACACAGACAUACACACUUAGCAGAGUAAGAAAAUACAUAAUGAAGGGGA